rnacentral:rRNA from 1 species
UACGGGGGGAGCAAGCGUUGUUCGGAUUUACUGGGCGUAAAGGGCGCGUGGGCGGCCAGCACAAGUCAGUUGUGAAAUCUCCGGGCUUAACUCGGAAAGGUCAACUGAUACUGUGCGGCUAGAGUGCAGAAGGGGCAACUGGAAUUCUCGGUGUAGCGGUGAAAUGCGUAGAUAUCGAGAGGAACACCUGCGGCGAAGGCGGGUUGCUGGGCUGACACUGACGCUGAUGCGCGAAAGCCAGGGGAGCGAACGGG